CCUACGGGUGGCAGCAGUGGGGAAUAUUGGACAAUGGGGGCAACCCUGAUCCAGCCAUGCCGCGUGUGUGAAGAAGGCCCUCGGGUUGUAAAGCACUUUCAGUGAGGAAGAACGCCUGGUGGUUAAUACCCAUCAGGAAAGACAUCACUCACAGAAGAAGCACCGGCUAACUCCGUGCCAGCAGCCGCGGUAAUACGGAGGGUGCGAGCGUUAAUCGGAAUUACUGGGCGUAAAGCGCGCGUAGGUGGCUUGAUAAGCCGGUUGUGAAAGCCCCGGGCUCAACCUGGGAACGGCAUCCGGAACUGUCAAUCUAGAGUGCAGGAGAGGAAGGUAGAAUUCCCGGUGUAGCGGUGAAAUGCGUAGAGAUCGGGAGGAAUACCAGUGGCGAAGGCGGCCUUCUGGACUGACACUGACACUGAGGUGCGAAAGCGUGGGUAGCAAACAGGAUUAGAUACCCUGGUAGUC
rnacentral:rRNA from 1 species